rnacentral:rRNA from 1 species
GACGAACGCUGGCGGCGUGCUUAACACAUGCAAGUCGAACGCUGAAGCUUGGUGCUUGCACUGGGUGGAUGAGUGGCGAACGGGUGAGUAAUACGUGAGUAACCUGCCCUUGACUCUGGGAUAAGCCUGGGAAACUGGGUCUAAUACUGGAUACGACAUGCCACUGCAUGGUGGUGUGUGGAAAGGGUUUUACUGGUUUUGGAUGGGCUCACGGCCUAUCAGCUUGUUGGUGGGGUAAUGGCCUACCAAGGCGACGACGGGUAGCCGGCCUGAGAGGGUGACCGGCAACACGGGGACGGAGACACGGCCAAGACUCCUACGGGAGGCAGCAGUGGGGAAUAUUGCACAAUGGGCGGAAGCCUGAUGCAGCGACGCCGCGUGAGGGAUGACGGCCUUCGGGUUGUAAACCUCUUUCAGCACGGAAGAAGCGGGAGUGACGGUAGGUGCAGAAGAAGCGCCGGCUAACUACGUG